CACUUGUUUUUGUAAUAUGAAGACAAAGAUGGUUGCAAGUAGAGGGGAAGGAUGUCUAGCUCAUAACAGGGAGCAGGAGAGCAGGGUAAAGACCAAGGGCAGAGAGGAAGGACAGCAGGGGUGCCCCCCUGAACUUCUGUACUUGAAGACACUCUCAGUCAAGACUGAAGUGAGGGAGAUGAGAGAUUCCCCUUGUGCCAGCAAUACAGUCAUCAAGGCAUGGACUCCACAAGACCUCUAAAGGUGUCCUGUGAUAUCUGGAAUAAGGAUAGCAGCAGAUCUUUUAAACCCUGUACGUUGUGAGGUGGGUUCUCCACGGAUCUGACUUGAUUUUCCAGCACAGAUGCUUGUCUGGAUUGAGAUCUGGGGGAACUAGGAGACCAAGUCAAAACUUUGACCUCAGUUUCAUCUUCUUCUAACCAUUCCUGAAUGUUUUUGCAGAGUGGCAGGUUGCAUUGCACAAGCCC